AACGAACGCUGGCGGCAGGCUUAACACAUGCAAGUCGAACGCAUCGCAAGAUGAGUGGCAGACGGGUGAGUAACGCGUGGGAACAUACCCUUUUCUACGGAAUAGCUCUGGGAAACUGGAAUUAAUACCGUAUACGCCCUACGGGGGAAAGUUUUAUCGGGGAAGGAUUGGCCCGCGUUGGAUUAGCUAGUUGGUGGGGUAAAGGCCUACCAAGGCGACGAUCCAUAGCUGGUCUGAGAGGAUGAUCAGCCACAUUGGGACUGAGACACGGCCCAAACUCCUACGGGAGGCAGCAGUGGGGAAUAUUGGACAAUGGGCGCAAGCCUGAUCCAGCCAUGCCGCGUGAGUGAUGAAGGCCUUAGGGUUGUAAAGCUCUUUCACCGAUGAAGAUAAUGACGGUAGUCGGAGAAGAAGCCCCGGCCAACUUCGUGCCAGCCGCCGCGGUAACAC
rnacentral:rRNA from 1 species